AUGGGCCGUGACGUGCCGGCCCGUUUGGCCAGGUCUGCUGCAAAAUCCUAGGGAAAAAGGGCUGCGCUCCAAGAAGAACUGAGGGCGGCUGCGGGGACGGAAAGAGGAGGACCGGCAGCGGGCUAGCAGCGGAUCAUCUCAAGGGGAAAGCUUCCACUAUGAUCGAUCUCAACUAGGAGAAGGUGUUAGCCAAAUGCUCAUGGGGGGAUGUGUCAAAGCUACUGAAGGCAAAGGCAGGCGAGCCACCGAGGAGGAGGUGCGUGAUGAUCGUAUCUAGAGGGUUCUUAUAACGAUGAGCUGACAUUGCGUGAGGAGGAGGAGGGUUUGGCUGCCUCUGAGGAAGAGUAGCGGGUGAUGGAGGAAUAGUAUAGGCCGGCGUUAUAGCUGAUCAGGGCCAUGAACAUUACCAACUAUGUGCAAACCUUUUCGUGAUGUAGUUUUUGUAUUUGCCAUUACAUUUUUUGCCAUUAAAAACUCCCAUAUUAAUAUAUUUGGCUUUGAUAGCACAUAUGCUAAUGUGCUUUGUUAGGACUACUGGUUUCUAUGUGCAUUGUACACCGUACCUUCUAUGUUUAGAAUCAUUUUUUGAGGGGUUGAGUGUUUGUGAUGUCCAUCGUU